GGCACGCGGCGGCGAAGCUCUCCGAGCCGAGGCCCUGGCGGCCACCCGGCGCCAGGCUCCGGUUUCCGCUGCCACCUUCUCGGGUUCUCGCCCAGCCGGCCUGGGGAGGAGCCGGGUGCACCCCGCGGCGGGCAGCGCUCGAGAAGGGGCUGACAGGAAGGUCUCCCUGCCAGCGGAGCGUUCUCCGGACUCUCCAUCCGGAGCCAGUGAGGGGCGGCGGGGUCUCCCAGCCCCCUUUGCCUCCAGGCCCCGCUUCCACCUCUGUCGAUGGCCUGGCGGGCUCGGGGCACAGGGUGGAGGCAGCUGUGCUCUCCCCGUUCAGAUGAGGCCCAUGACUUCCCCAAGAUGACAGACUUUCGUAAGCAACACAGGGUUGCUAUGGGGAUGAAUCUACAUAAGAAGUCUACUACAAGACACAGGCACGCCCGUCCCCUAGCUUGUGUUCAAGGCCAGUACAAGCCCAGUGGAAGAGAAGAAAUUGCUCCCAGUUGAGUCAAAGCCCAGCUAUUCAAUAUUGCAGAUGUCUGUGAGAUCCGAGACGAGUUUCCCAGCCUCUGCUCUUCUGUCUGAAAACAUGUCAACAUGAUGGAGAUGAAAUGGGACAAGAGAGGCAUUGCUAAGCCUGUCUUGCACUAGGUCCUGGCGCAUCAUCCUGCAGAAGAUGGACUAUAAAGACCCCGGCCUCCUUGAAGGAGCAGCCAUCAAGGUAGAGAAGAUAAACAGAAACAUUUCCAAUGCAAUGCGGCAGAGACUCUCAGGGAGGCAGGAAUGAUGCAUGCAGGAGCAGCCAAGAGACAUCACGCCCACCUAGGCCUCUGCUCUUCUCUCUACAACCUUCCUGGGCAAUCCUGGCCUUCAUGCUAUUCCUGAUGACCCCAGGCCAGAGCCUGUGCCUCCUGAGCCCCAGAUCCACAUAUACUUCCUGGGCAUCUCUCUGUGGAAGCCUCAGACUGAACUCAUGGUUUGUCUUCACACUUACUCCUCCUUCUCCUAUACUUUCCAUAUCAAUAAAUGGCUCCAAAGUACGCCCAGCUGCCAACUCCCACAUCACCCAUGCUCAGGCAUCUGCCACCUCUCCCCCUCACUAAGUGUGUUGCUACUUACCUCUCUAAGAUCCCUCACACCUGUGCCCUCUACCACAGCUUCUCCUCACCCCCUCCCGACUAAGACCUUAUUACCCUAAAUCUAGACCAGGGCAUCCUCCCCUGCCUUCCUGCUCCAUUUCUGCAUAAUCCAGUCCAUCCCCAAAUGCCUCACUCCCCAAAGCACUAUUCUCAUGAUGCCACUCUCCUCCAAUCCAUCGGUGCCACCUGGAAUAUCCCUUUUCCUCCACUGGCCUAUAGGCUCCUUAUCUCCAUUGCCUGGGGCUCAGUGCCUGCCAGAGGCCUCAGUAGGAGUUUGUCAAGAGUACGCAUUACUGCAGUAAAGCAGAUGGUGAGCAACUCUGCUGAGAAGAGAAGAGGGUGAAGUUGGGUCCUGAGCAGUAUAGAAAAAUCUGCACCAGCUGCUGCGGUUGAAUGCUACCGGAGGUCAGCAAACAAGGAAAGGACUGCUCAGAGAGGUCAUGGUGGGAAUGUGGGCCCAAUCCAGGGGCAAGGAAAGAAGUAUACCCUCAUAGGCCUCCAGGUGGGGCGAAGAAGGGGCUUGGGGACCGCAGAUUUUUGAAAGUGGAGGAAGGAAGAAGCAGUGGGAACCUGGGUUACCAGACUUGUGAUCGUGGCUAAGUGAUGGCCAGGAUCCAAGUGCAGCCCAGAGUGCUGUCAGGAGGCCAACAGGGAAUGAAGGAGGCGGUCACUGGAGUUAAGAGGUUAACACUUGGGUGUGAAAGCUCAGAGUCUGGAGCCAAGAAUAAUUUGGUCAGCCAGUGUUAUGGUUGUGAUUCAAAAUGUCCCCCAAAAGGCUCCCUUGCUGCAUUGAAGGCUUGGUUGUUAGUUGACGGGCUUUGGGGGAAGUGAUUGGAUCAUGAGGCUGCUAACUUCAUCAAGUAGAUUAAUCCAUUGAUGAGUUCAUCAGCUGCAGGAGCUUAUGAGAAGGUGGGGCCUAAUUGGAUGAAGCAGGUCACUAGGAACAAGAGUCUUGGAAGGGUGUACCUUGUCUCCCACCCCUUCCUCCUAGACGAAGGUUUCUCCCUGCUUCCUGGCUGCCGUGAGGAGAGCUGCUCUGCUCCACCAUGCCCUGCGUGCUGAGCUGUUUCUACCUUACCUUACCCAGAGGCAAUGGUGCCGGGUGACUAUGGACUGGGACAUACAAAACUGUGAGCCAAAGUAAAUAUUU